rnacentral:rRNA from 1 species
GGAAUUUUCCGCAAUGGGCGAAAGCCUGACGCAGCAAUGCCGCGUGAGUGAAGAAGGCCCUCGGGUCGUAAAGCUCUUUAUCUUCGGGAAGAUGAUGACGGUACCGAAGGAAGAAGCACCGGCUAACUACGUGCCAGCAGCCGCGGUAAUACGUAGGGUGCAAGCGUUGUUCGGAAUCACUGGGCGUAAAGGGCGUGUAGGCGGAACGAUUAGCGAGGGGUGAAAUCCCGGGGCUCAACCCCGGAACUGCUCUUCGAACUGUCGAUCUAGAGAAGGUCAGGGGCCGGCGGAAUUCCUGGUGUAGAGGUGAAAUUCGUAGAGAUCAGGAGGAACAUCGGAGGCGAAGGCGGCCGGCUGGGGCCAUUCUGACGCUGAGGCGCGAAAGCGUGGGGAGCAAACAGGAUUAGAUACCCCUGUAGUC